rnacentral:rRNA from 1 species
AACAGGCUUAUCUCCCCCAAGAGUCCACAUCGACGGGGAGGUUUGGCACCUCGAUGUCGGCUCAUCACAUCCUGGGGCUGUAGUAGGUCCCAAGGGUUGGGCUGUUCGCCCAUUAAAGUGGUACGCGAGCUGGGUUCAGAACGUCGUGAGACAGUUCGGUCCCUAUCCGUCGCAGGCGUAGGCAAUUUGAGAAGACCUGUCCUUAGUACGAGAGGACCGGGAUGGACGUACCUCUGGUGUACCAGUUGU